rnacentral:rRNA from 1 species
GAUGAACGCUGGCGGCGUGCCUAAUACAUGCAAGUCGAGCGAACGGACGAGAAGCUUGCUUCUCUGAUGUUAGCGGUGGACGGGUGAGUAACACGUGGAUAACCUACCUAUAAGACUGGGAUAACUUCGGGAAACCGGAGCUAAUACCGGAUAAUAUUUUGAACCGCAUGGUUCAAAAGUGAAAGACGGUCUUGCUGUCACUUAUAGAUGGAUCCGCGCUGCAUUAGCUAGUUGGUAAGGUAACGGCUUACCAAGGCAACGAUGCAUAGCCGACCUGAGAGGGUGAUCGGCCACACUGGAACUGAGACACGGUCCAGACUCCUACGGGAGGCAGCAGUAGGGAAUCUUCCGCAAUGGGCGAAAGCCUGACGGAGCAACGCCUCGUGAGUGAUGAAGGUCUUCGGAUCGUAAAACUCUGUUAUUAGGGAAGAACAUAUGUGUAAGUAACUGUGCACAUCUUGACGGUACCUAAUCAGAAAGCCACGGCUAACUACGU